GAUGAAGAACGUAGUGAAAUGCGAUACGUAAUGUGAAUUGCAGAAUUCAGUGAAUCAUCGAAUCUUUGAACGCAUAUUGCGCUCUCUGGUAUUCCGGAGAGCAUGCUUGUUUGAGUAUCAGUAAGCACCUCAACUUCCAUAUCUUUUUUGAAAUGGGAGUUGGACUUGAGUGAUCCCAACGCUUUUCCUCACCGAAAAGUGGCGGGUUACUUGAAAUGCAGGUGCAGCUGGACUUUUCUCUGAGCUAUAAGCAUAUCUAUUUAGUCUGCCUAAAAAACAGAUUAUUACCUUUGCUGCAGCUAACAUAAAGGAGAUUAGUUCUUGUGCUGACUGAUGCAGGAUUCACAAAGACAGGCUUCGGCCGACUUUGUAAACUCGAUCUCAAAUCAAGUAAGACUACCCGCUGAACUUAAGCAUAUCAAUAAGCGGAGGA
rnacentral:misc_RNA from 1 species